GAUGAACGCUGGCGGCGUGCCUAAUACAUGCAAGUCGAGCGAACAGACGAGGAGCUUGCUCCUCUGACGUUAGCGGCGGACGGGUGAGUAACACGUGGAUAACCUACCUAUAAGACUGGGAUAACUUCGGGAAACCGGAGCUAAUACCGGAUAAUAUAUUGAACCGCAUGGUUCAAUAGUGAAAGACGGUUUUGCUGUCACUUAUACAUGGAUCCGCGCCGCAUUAGCUAGUUGGUAAGGUAACGGCUUACCAAGGCAACGAUGCGUAGCCGACCUGAGAGGGUGAUCGGCCACACUGGAACUGAGACACGGUCCAGACUCCUACGGGAGGCAGCAGUAGGGAAUCUUGCGCAAUGGGCGAAAGCCUGACGGAGCAACGCCGCGUGAGUGAUGAAGGUCUUCGGAUCGUAAAACUCUGUUAUUAGGGAAGAACAAAUGUGUAAGUAACUAUGCACGUCUUGACGGUACCUAAUCAGAAAGCCACGGCUAACUACGUG
rnacentral:rRNA from 1 species